UGCAAUGAGCGCUCCUCGGCCAGCAUAAAGGCCUCUUUAUUCGCUCUGGACAGAGAAAGGAAAUCAGCUUCAGCAGAAAAAACACAGCAGGCCGAGCAAAGCGGCCACAGGGCUGCACAUCUGGAGUUAUUACAACCCUGCCUCCUCGCCAAGAAACUCCGACAUUCCUCCAGCAGCUACAAAGCCAUGGAGCCUCAAGAGUCAUCCACUCCGACUCCCACACAUGCACACGAGCUGACACACACCCCAACCACCCUCCCUCACACACAAACACACACACACCCUCACGGACUGACAUUCUCCCCCAAAAAAAUGACCUGGACCGACCAAUCCACCCCUCGUACCCCCCCAUUUACAAUUACACAAGAUGCAUGCAGCAAAUUAAUGCGAUUCACUUCCUGUUGACCUUUGACCCACCGCUUCCUGCUGCCUCCCCAAAAAAGCAGGCGGGGGGGAAAGCCAGACAGAGGAGGGUACAACAGAGACUGGGGUGAGCAAAAAAAAAAAAAGAAAGAAAGAAAAAAAGAAAAAAUUAGCUCCUCCUCUUUCUCCUCCAUCUCCCUCUUUCCUUCUCUCUGACUGGGAAAGUUAACAGCACUCUGCCACGUCAAGCUUACGAGUUGCCGCUGUGCCACCAGGUUGGAACGAGACGGUGCGCUCUGUUCUCCAACUUUUUUCAGAACGCACGAUACGUGUUGCGUUUUUGAGGGAAAAUCUACGGACUUCAACUCUGGGACAGAUGUUCUUAUUUUUCUCUCUGAACGAAAAUCAGGGCAUGGAGGCAGAUAACGUAUAAGUUCUACAAUCCCAUUUUUUACGGCCUGGCUGCAUGACUUCAAGUGCCGCCUGGCUGCAGAGUCUCACUCUGACUGGAAAGGAGAAGACAGAUGGAAUGGGGUUGGGGUGAAGCUUGAAGAGAAACAUCUGGGCUAAAUCUAGCCAUCUUUGGAAUGAAGAAGAUUCGUCCUGAGAGAAGGAAAAACCAAAACUUGCUUUUGGAGGAGGCAGGACCCUGGAGCCCUGAAAGCACCGUCGCUUGCAACAGCCGCCGUUUCUCACUCAUACAUGGUAAAGCACACAGGUUUCUCUGAUCUCUGUUUUAACCAGAAGGCCAGGACACAGGCACAUGUGUGGGUGCAAAUCAGUCCAGGCAUGGAAUCAGAAGGUUGAAACAUAGAGGACAUUGACCUGUCCCGCCUGCCCAGUGUUCAGACUACCUGUUCAGGAAGUAGCGGUUGUACAGUAGUCUGCACAUUGGUUAGGCUGGGUGGGGAAGCGCAAGAGCCGGCCCUCAUCAUUUCCAACAACUUAUCCUCCUUGUCAUGCUUUACUUAUGAACUGUGAUGUUUCAGUCUUUAAUAAAUCCAUAAAAUAAUCAUGAAA